rnacentral:tRNA from 1 species
CACCUGCUCGGGUAGCUUAAA